rnacentral:sRNA from 1 species
UUGAAAGGUGCCGGAAUGACAGCUUCUGCUUAGCUACAGAACAGGCACUGCCAGCUCCUCCCAUGGUGCAGCACCAAUGUGCACGCAUGCCCUGCCCUGGAGGGCCCACCUCUAGUGGUGAAAGGGGAGUUCAGGGUCCCAUUCCUUCCUAGGCCCAA